GUUGACGGUUACCAAUACGCAUCGACCAAUAAAACGAUUUUAUUUUAAAGUAGUGCAAAAGAUGGCUGCGUUACCGUCUCCGACUCAGGUUGCAGGUAGCCACAGUCACAUAUAUGAAGCCUAUUAUAAUCUGGUGGACCCAAACGGGUUCGGUACAGUGGGAGGUAUGGAGGCGGCCAGGUUCCUAAAAAGGUCCGGCCUAAGUGACAUAGUCCUGUCCAGAAUCUGGGAUUUGUCAGAUCCGGGUGGAAGGGGCAGUUUGGACAAGGCGGGGAUGUUUGUUGCUCUAAAGUUAGUCGCUUUGGUACAGAACGGGAAGGAUUUGAGUAUUAAGCAUGUGAACGAUGAUGUUCCACCACCAAAAAUGGGCGACAUACCUUUACCCAAAACAAAACCGCCCUUGCCCACUACCACCCCCUUGAUCACCUCUUUACCACCCUCAGCAGUAGAUUGGACCAUAAAACCAACCGAGAGGGAAAAGUAUGACAAACUAUUCGACUCCUUACAGCCCACAAACGGAGUUAUUCCGGGAAACAAGGUCAAAAACGUCCUGAUGGAGUCAAAACUGCCCUUUGACACAUUGGGCAAGAUAUGGGAGUUAGCGGACCAAGACAAGGAUGGUAUGUUAAACAGGCAUGAGUUUGUUGUGGCGAUGCAUUUAGUAUAUAAAGCUUUGGAAAAAUACGCGAUCCCGAACACUUUACCCCCAGAACUGGCCCCACCGUUAAAAAGGAAAGACUCCAGUCCGCCAUCGGUGCAACCGAAUUUAAUUAGUAGUCGACCCUUGGAUAUUGUUAAACCGGAAGUCCCUCCGCCACCCAUUAUACCAGCGGUAAUAUAUAUGAAGUUGUAUAAAUGUAAAAGUGUACGAAAAGAGCACUUUUUUCAGGUGAAACCGGUUCAGUCUGUCCAACCGACUAUUCCCUGGGUGGUUAGUGCCGAUGAAAAAGCCAAAUCUGACAUGUUGUUCGUUAAAAGUGACGUGGAUAAGGACGGGUUCGUUUCCGGGGGGGAGAUUAAGGACGUUUUUUUGCGUAGUGGGGUGCCCCAGCACGUUUUGGCUCAUAUUUGGGCCUUGUGCGACAUAAAACAAACCGGAAAACUAAAUAACGAGCAGUUCGCGUUGGCGAUGUGGUUCGUAGCACGCUGCCUAAAAGGCGUAGAACCACCUCCAGCACUCACCCCGGAAAUGGUACCGCCCACUUUUAGAACCGGUAAAGCUGCCUCAGAAGGAUUAGUGGAAAACAACAACACGAGAUACUCGAACCCGGAACUGGACAUGAUCAGUAAAGACAUCGAGGUGUUGGCCAAGGAACGACUGGCCUUAGAGAGCGAUAUCGCCCAAAAAGAGGCGGACAUCAAGAUAAAAAGUGGAGAAAUUAAAAAUUUACAAAGUGAACUGGACACUUUGGCUGCCACCUUGAAACAAUUGGAAAACCAAAAAGGCGAGGCCCAAAAACGAUUGAACGACCUUAAGGCGCAGAAGGGCACGCUAGAGUUAGAACACGCAGCUAUUGACAAAGAACUCGGUUUGGCCACGGAACAGGUGGACAAACUGAGAGCACAAGCGAACGAACAAGCGGAACUGGUGGCCACCCAAGAGACCGAACUGAAGAGCAAAAAAGAGCAACUGGACGGUCUCAGGCAGGAGGAGCAGACGCUGGAGAACCAGAAGAACGACUACCUGAAGAAACUCGAGUCGCUCACGAGCAAUUUGCAGGAGACCCAAUUGAACAUAAGCCAGGUGAAGGCUCUCACCACCCAGUUACAGGAACAGACCCGGCAAAUUAACGACGCGAUCGUUUUAUGUGAGAACGCGAUCGAAAUGGGAGACGCGAGUCAGGUGCCCGAGCAGGCGUUGAGGAUCGCCGCGGAUUUCCAGGAGUAUUCCCGAUUGGCGGCAGACGGGGAGAAUAAGGAGAACGAUCCGUUCGGUAGACAAAACGGGUCGAACAGUGGGUUCGAUGACGAUCCUUUUCAAAACGAUCCGUUUAGAAGCAAAAGUGCCUCCUCAAUCGCCAACGACCCGUUUAACGAGUCUUUUAACAGCAAAAUCUCAAAUGGUGGUUUUCCCUCGGACCCGUUCAGUUCCUUCAACAGCACCCAACCGGACCCGUUUGCCAGCAGCAAUUUCGAUAAAAAUCCCGAAACACUUUCAGAGGUGGGCAAAGACCCGUUCGGAUGCGACCCGUUCGCGGUCCUACACGCGCCGACCCGCGACUCGGUGGCGGGCGACACCGCCCCCGGACGACCCGCCAGCCCCAGUCCCGCCUUGCCGCCCAAAAAGAGCAAACAGCCGCCCCCGAGACCAGCGCCUCCGCGUCCCGCCGUGCCGCCCGCCCCCAAAAAACAGGACGCCUUCGGGAGCGAACCGUUCGACGCGGUGCCGCCGCCCGCUACGGGAGGCGGUUUCGCCGAUUUUUCCAAUUUUGAAGCUAAGAUGUUACGAUCCCCCCAUCCCGGCCCGUAGAACCUUGUUCUGGUCCUUUUCCUUAUUGUUCUACACCGAUUUGGAGCCCGCAUGUUAGUUCUUUAUCAGCGAAACCGGCGGCGCCACCCCCGAAACUCGCGGACUUUGCAGACGAUCCGUUCAAGGAUUACCGCUACGAGGAUCCGUUCAACAUUAAAUUCGACGAAGAAGAAGAAGAAAAGGAUGAAGAAACACAACGCAAUAAAAAC
rnacentral:misc_RNA from 1 species